GAUGAACGCUGGCGGCGUGCCUAAUACAUGCAAGUCGAGCGAACGGACGAGAAGCUUGCUUCUCUGAUGUUAGCGGCGGACGGGUGAGUAACACGUGGAUAACCUACCUAUAAGACUGGGAUAACUUCGGGAAACCGGAGCUAAUACCGGAUAAUAUUUUGAACCGCAUGGUUCAAAAGUGAAAGACGGUCUUGCUGUCACUUAUAGAUGGAUCCGCGCUGCAUUAGCUAGUUGGUAAGGUAACGGCUUACCAAGGCAACGAUGCAUAGCCGACCUGAGAAGGUGAUCGGCCACACUGGAACUGAGACACGGUCCAGACUCCUACGGGAGGCAGCAGUAGGGAAUCUUCCGCAAUGGGCGAAAGCCUGACGGAGCAACGCCGCGUGAGUGAUGAAGGUCUUCGGAUCGUAAAACUCUGUUAUUAGGGAAGAACAUAUGUGUAAGUAACUGUGCACAUCUUGACGGUACCUAAUCAGAAAGCCACGGCUAACUACGUGCCAGCAGCCGCGGUAAUACGUAGGUGGCAAGCGUUAUCCGGAAUUAUUGGGCGUAAAGCGCGCGUAGGCGGUUUUUUAAGUCUGAUGUGAAAGCCCACGGGCUCACCGUGGAGGGUCAUUGGAAACUGGAAAACUUGAGUGCAGAAGAGGAAAGUGGAAUUCCAUGUGUAGCGGUGAAAUGCGCAGAGAUAUGGAGGAACACCAGUGGCGAAGGCGACUUUCUGGUCUGUAACUGACGCUGAUGUGCGAAAGCGUGGGGAUCAAACAGGAUUAGAUACCCUGGUAGUCCACGCCGUAAACGAUGAGUGCUAAGUGUUAGGGGGUUUCCGCCCCUUAGUGCUGCAGCUAACGCAUUAAGCACUCCGCCUGGGGAGUACGACCGCAAGGUUGAAACUCAAAGGAAUUGACGGGGACCCGCACAAGCGGUGGAGCAUGUGGUUUAAUUCGAAGCAACGCGAAGAACCUUACCAAAUCUUGACAUCCUUUGACAACUCUAGAGAUAGAGCCUUCCCCUUCGGGGGACAAAGUGACAGGUGGUGCAUGGUUGUCGUCAGCUCGUGUCGUGAGAUGUUGGGUUAAGUCCCGCAACGAGCGCAACCCUUAAGCUUAGUUGCCAUCAUUAAGUUGGGCACUCUAAGUUGACUGCCGGUGACAAACCGGAGGAAGGUGGGGAUGACGUCAAAUCAUCAUGCCCCUUAUGAUUUGGGCUACACACGUGCUACAAUGGACAAUACAAAGGGCAGCGAAACCGCGAGGUCAAGCAAAUCCCAUAAAGUUGUUCUCAGUUCGGAUUGUAGUCUGCAACUCGACUACAUGAAGCUGGAAUCGCUAGUAAUCGUAGAUCAGCAUGCUACGGUGAAUACGUUCCCGGGUCU
rnacentral:rRNA from 1 species